AAAGUAAGACAGACGGUCGCAGCUGCAAGUGUCGAAAGACCGCAGGUGAGGAAAGUCCGGGCUUCAUAGGGCAGGAUGCCGGAUAACGUCCGGUGGAGGCGACUCCAAGGCUAGUGCAACAGAAAUGUACCGCCCAGAUUGAUUCUGGGUAAGGGUGGAAGGGCAGUGUAAGAGACUACCGCUCCUUUGGUAACAAAGGGGGCAUAUGUAAACCCCAUUCGAAGCAAGACCGAACGAAAACGAUGUGGCGGCCCGUCACGUUUUAGGUAGGUUGCUUGAUCUUACUGGCAACAGUAAGGCUAGAUAGAUGACCGUUCAACGACAUAACCCGGCUUAUCGUUUUGCUUUUACA
rnacentral:RNase_P_RNA from 1 species